AUUGCAGGCUGCAACUCGCCUGCAUGAAGUCGGAAUUGCUAGUAAUCGUAGGUCAGCAUACUACGGUGAAUACGUUCCCGGGCCUUGUACACACCGCCCGUCAAACCAUGAGAGUUGGCAACACCCGAAGUCGGUAGCCUAACCGCAAGGAGGACGCCGCCGAAGGUGGGGUUGAUGAUUAGGGUUAAGUCGUAACAAGGUAUC
rnacentral:rRNA from 1 species